rnacentral:lncRNA from 1 species
CUAGAAAGAAAUGGGUUACUUCAACAGACUAACAGUGUUGGUCUUUCCUUCCAGACAGGCAGGAAUGAAUGACAGCUUUAGAAAAGCCACACGUAUGGAAGAGAAAAGAUUAUGGACAAAGACUGAAGAGUACAUAAAGGCUCUUCCGAAAGGACCAGCUGGACUACCAUUUUAAAGGUCUCUUAUGAAACUGAGCAACACUGGAACACCUGUUACUCAACUUGAACAAAGGGAAUGCAGGAUGUGUCACCUAGAUAAUUAGCAUCCUAACUUCCAAGGGGACUGAUUUCCACUAUCAUGAUUCUUUUCUGUUAACAUGACUCAAAACAAGAUGCCUUCUCUUUGGGAUGAUCUUCCUUCAAAUGACAUCUCUCCAGUAUCAUUAAGAUCAAGACUACAUAGGAAGAAGUUUACAUCUUUCACAAGGAGCAACCUCCAAAAGAAAGAAUCCACUGUGAAGAACAGAAGAAACAAUGUGUUGCUUACCUGAACCCGAGGCAGUAGUCAAGGUACGAAACCUCUCUGUACUGAGUUAUUGUCUUACUCUCCUGUUGUUGCUAUGGUCUUUAUACUUUUCUGAA